CUUUCAGGCACAGUUUGAUAUAGGGGCCCAAAUGACGCCAAAGAACCCAGGAGCCUCAUCAGCUUGGAUUUGUACCCUCAAAUGUCGGUUUCUUUCUCUGCAGAUUUUCCUCUUACAACAGCGCUGCUGCCACAGUUUCAGACUUUGUACUGUCACAGCUCCAAAUUCACAGUGUAUAUCGACUUACUGCUGCCCAGGGAAGCCUGAAGAAGUCAACCAGGUCUGCAGAACCGGGCAGCAAUUACCUGGAGAGAAGGGGCCAUGAAAGCAGAGAUGGCAAAGAGAGAGGCCAACAAUUCCCAGAAGACCCAGAGAAGUAGCCAGGGUUGGCCAACCAGGAGCAGGGUGGAGAUCAGGGAAGUCUGCAGCAGCUCUCAGUGUAAGUUCUGGCUUCUCUAGCCCUGCCUAUCCUCCUUUCAUACCUUGGCCCCCUAAGACCUUCACUUUGGGGAAACUACCCAUAGACUGGGGUUCUUUCUCUACCUCCCUCUCCUUUCUAGCCCUUUUCUCUGUAGGGUCUGUAGAAAUUUCUACCUGAAGGGUCAUCUCAAGGGGUCUGCAUCCCUCUCCCUCAAGUCCAUUUGACUUAGCCUCUCUGGGAUAACUCUUCCUGGAAAGCGAAGCAGUGAGUGGUUCUAAAGAAGUGAGCGCAGAACCUGAACAAGCGAUUCAUUCCAGCAGAUGCUCAGAGAUCAAACAUCUUUGCCACAUGCUGCUUAUGAGAUGGUUAAAAUCCAGCAACUCCCCAGUCAGUAGAAGUGUGCUUUACAAAGGCUCAGAG
rnacentral:lncRNA from 1 species